AACGUAGGUACCGAGCGUUAUCCGGAUUCACUGGGCGUAAAGGGCGCGUAGGCGGCCUGAUAAGUAGGGGGUGAAAUCCUGCGGCUUAACCGCAGGGCUGCCUUCUAAACUGUCAGGCUUGAGCACAGUAGAGGCAGGUGGAAUUCCCGGUGUAGCGGUGGAAUGCGUAGAGAUCGGGAAGAACAUCAGUGGCGAAGGCGGCCUGCUGGGCUGUUGCUGACGCUGAGGCGCGACAGCGUGGGGGAGCAAACAGG
rnacentral:rRNA from 1 species